rnacentral:rRNA from 1 species
CUACGGGGCGCACCAGGCGAGAAAACUUUGCAAUGUGCGAAAGCACGACAAGGUUAAUCCGAGUGGUUUCUGCUAAAGGAACCUUUUGUUAGUCCUAGAAACACUGAUGAAUAAGGGGUGGGCAAGUUCUGGUGUCAGCCGCCGCGGUAAAACCAGCACCUCAAGUGGUCAGGAUGAUUAUUGGGCCUAAAGCAUCCGUAGCCGGCUUUGUAAGUUUUCGGUUAAAUCCAUACGCUCAACGUAUGGGCUGCCGGGAAUACUGCAAAGCUAGGGAGUGGGAGAGGUAGACGGUACUCGGUAGGAAGGGGUAAAAUCCUUUGAUCUAUUGAUGACCACCUGUGGCGAAGGCGGUCUACCAGAACACGUCCGACGGUGAGGGAUGAAAGCUGGGGGAGCAAACCGGAUUAGAUACCUCAGUAGUC